rnacentral:lncRNA from 1 species
UUCAGCUACUUGAUCCUGGACUUCCCAGCCUCCAGAACUGUAAGAAAUAAACUUAUGUUGUCCACGUGCCACGUGGUGUAUGGCAUUCUGCAAUAGCGGCCCGAGCCAACUAAGAAAGUGGGGAGCCAUGGUGAGUGAGGUGCCCAGGAGCCAGGAGUGUCUGCCCCAGGGGCUGCAGGUUCAGGCACUGCUCCACGGGGAGGCCUCCACUCCUUGCCAGUUUUGGCAGAUCCAGGCUUGGGGCUACAGAGCAGCCUGCCAGACUGCCCCAGACCAGGCAGGAGCACCCCUGCCACAUGAGAACUGAGCAAGGAUGAUGCAGUUGCAGCCCACAUCCAAAGCCCUCCUUCCAACACACCAAGCUGCACCCCACAGCCCAUUUUGUGGUUCAAGGUACAACUCACAUUUUCAGGAACAGAGGGCAAGGCCUGGGGAUCUACUGCCUUACUAUAGAGAGAAAUCUGCUUCCAAUGCCCCACCUGUAGCCCAAAGCCCUCCUACCAGGACACCCCAAAAGUUGUGUCAUAGCUGUGCUGCAGGCCUCAGUGACUCGGCUCAGGAUGAACACAGGAGGGCUGGAACAGACCAUCCCUGCCCCUCCCUCCUUCCCCCACUCCCCGCCCCAUGAGUAGCCCUGGCCUUCUGAGAUGCCUGAACUAGACAGACCCCUAUCCUAACACUCUGAAUGAAACAAUGUGUGAUCCCAAGUCCACCAAGAUGCAGAACUUGCUUCCACCGGUGCCCAGAGAAUUG